GGGAGAGGAACACGGUGCUGAUCUUGGCAUCGUGUACUUGCAAAAUUAUUCUCAUCAAGUAGGGCUAUAUUCUGCUUUCCUGCGACAAAAAACAGUGCAGAGAAGGUUGACCUAUGCAAGGAAAGGAUGACAAGUCUGUUUUGUCAUAAUGUCCCCAACACACGUACUGCACUGUAUGGAUAAUGCUUUGGCUUAAGGUGCAAGAUCUUCUGUCUCAAUCCAGUGAGGUCAUCUACAAGCAAACUGUUCUGCACAUCCAUCAAGAGAGACAAGAUUCAUGACAUCAUCCUCAUGUCAUUAGUGGGAGCAGAGGAUGCUUAGUAUCUCAUGAAAUAGUAAUACUGGUGUUAUGUCUGAAAUUUCUUGUAUUUGCAAAGUCAAGCAAUUGAGAGAUGAGAUCAAUUAAUUAUACCUUCUAACACCUUUUUUCCUCAAAUAAAACCGCAAGUAUUGUGACUGGACCUAAGCCACCACAGGGUUUUAAUGGAAAUGCCUAGUAUAAAUAAAAAUAUAUAAACAAAAAUGAAGAAAGAGGUUAAUAAGAUUAUAACUCUUUGUGAGAUCUAU